UACGUAGGGGGCAAGCGGUUGUCCGGAAUCAUUGGGCGUAAAGAGGCGUGUAGGCGGCUCGAUAAGUCUGCUGUGAAAGUCCAGGCUCAACCCUGGAAGGCCGGUGGAAACUGUCGGGCUAGAGUCCGGAAGAGGCGAGUGGAAUUCCCGGUGUAGCGGUGAAAUGCGCAGAUAAUCGGGAGGAACACCAAUGGCGAAGGCAGCUCGCCUGGGACGGUACUGACGCUGAGACGCGAAAGCGUGGGGAGCAAACAGG
rnacentral:rRNA from 1 species